rnacentral:rRNA from 1 species
CAAUGGGGGAGCUACACAUGCAGUCGAAGGAGAAGUUUCUCUUCGGAGAGAUGGACACUGGCGCACGGGUGAGUAACGCGUGGGGAUCUACCCCGGGGUGGGGGACAACCGCUGGAAACGGCGGCUAAUACCGCAUACGCCUUAAGAGGGAAAGCUUUAGCGCCCUGGGAUGAACCCGCGUUAGAUUAGGUAGUUGGUGGGGUAACGGCCUACCAAGCCGACGAUCUAUAGCUGGUCUGAGAGGAUGAUCAGCCACACUGGGACUGAGACACGGCCCAGACUCCUACGGGAGGCAGCAGUGGGGAAUAUUGGACAAUGGGGGCAACCCUGAUCCAGCCAUGCCGCGUGCGUGAAGAAGGCCUUAGGGUUGUAAAGCGCUUUCACUGGUGAAGAUGAUGACGGUAGCCAGAGAAGAAGCCCCGGCUAACUCCGUGCCAGCAGCCGCGGUAAUACGGAGGGGGCAAGCGUUGUUCGGAAUUACUGGGCGUAAAGGGCGCGUAGGCGGAAUAUCAAGUUAGGGGUGAAAGGCCUGGGCUCAACCUAGGAACGGCCUCUAAAACUGAUAAUCUAGAGUCCGGAAGAGGAUGGCGGAAUUCCUAGUGUAGAGGUGAAAUUCGUAGAUAUUAGGAAGAACACCGGUGGCGAAGGCGGCCAUCUGGUCCGGUACUGACGCUGAGGCGCGAAAGCGUGGGGAGCAAACAGGAUUAGAU